rnacentral:rRNA from 1 species
GACGAACGCUGGCGGCGUGCUUAACACAUGCAAGUCGAACGGAAAGGCCCGCCACCUUUGGCGGUGGGUACUCGAGUGGCGAACGGGUGAGUAACACGUGGGUGAUCUGCCCCGCACUGUGGGAUAAGCCUGGGAAACUGGGUCUAAUACCACAUACGACCAUGGCGUAGGGGUCAUGGUGGAAAGCUUUAUUGCGGUGUGGGAUGAGCCCGCGGCCUAUCAGCUUGUUGGUGGGGUAAUGGCCUACCAAGGCGGCGACGGGUAGCCGGCCUGAGAGGGUGGACGGCCACAUUGGGACUGAGACACGGCCCAG